UACAGAGGGUGCGAGCGUUAAUCGGAAUUACUGGGCGUAAAGCGUGCGUAGACGGUUAUUUAAGUCGGGUGUGAAAGCCCCGGGCUCAACCUGGGAAUUGCAUUCGAGACUGAAUAGCUAGGGUACGGUAGAGGGAAGUGGAAUUUCCGGUGUAGCGGUGAAAUGCGUAGAUAUCGGAAGGAACACCUGUGGCGAAAGCGGCUCACUGGACCAUAACUGACGCUGAUGCACGAAAGCUAGGGGAGCAAACAGG
rnacentral:rRNA from 1 species